GAAUGUCAAAUUUCUAGUAUGAGAAAUUAAUGAUUUAAGUCCUUCUUAAAUGAGGCCAUUUACCCAUAGAGGGUGCCAGGCCCGUAUAACAUUAAUGAUUACUAGAUGACAUUUCCAAAGAGUCGUGUUGCUUGAUAGUGCAGCACUAAGUGGGUGGUAAACUCCAUCUAAAACUAAAUAUAACCAUGAGACCGAUAGUAAACAAGUACCGUGAGGGAAAGUUGAAAAGAACUCUGAAUAGAGAGUUAAAUAGUACGUGAAACUGCUUAGAGGUUAAGCCCGAUGAACCUGAAUAUCCAAUUAUAGAAAAUUCAUCAUUAUGAUUAUAAUAUUUAAUAAAUAUUGUAAUAGUGGUGUGCAUUUUUUCUAUAAAGGACAUUGUAAUCUAUUAACAUGUAAAUAUUUAUCAUAAGAUCAAUUGCGUAAGUAUAUUCGAAUUAUUUUGCUUGCAUUUUAACAUAGAAUAUAUGCAUUUGAUUUGAUAAAGUGUUGAUAGAUUUAUUUAUAUAUAGUGCUUAAAUAUAUUUUUAUAUUUUAUAAUAACAUAUUAAUAAUUUAUUUUUAUGUUUAUUAUAUGCACUUAUAUGAUUAACAAUGCGAAAGAUUCAGGAUACCUUCGGGACCCGUCUUGAAACACGGACCAAGGAGUCUAACAUAUUUGCAAGUUAUUGGGAAUAAAAACCUAAUAGCGAAAUUAACAUAACUUAAUUAUAAUGGGAUUAGUUUUUAGUCUAUUUUUUAAAUAGUCAAUUAAUUCAAUCCCGGGGCGUUCUAUAUAGUUAUGUAUAAUAAUAUUUUAUAUUAUUUAUACCUCUAACUAGAACGUACCUUGAGCAUAUAUGCUGUGACCCGAAAGAUGGUGAACUAUACUUGAUCAGGUUGAAGUCAGGGGAAACCCUGAUGGAAGACCGAAACAGUUCUGACGUGCAAAUCGAUUGUCAGAAUUGAGUAUAGGGGCGAAAGACCAAUCGAACCAUCUAGUAGCUGGUUCCCUCCGAAGUUUCCCUCAGGAUAGCUGGUGCAUUUAAAAAUUAUGUUAAAUAAUCUUAUCUGGUAAAGCGAAUGAUUAGAGGCCUUAGGGUCGAAACGAUCUUAACCUAUUCUCAAACUUUAAAUGGGUAAGAACCUCACCUUUCUUGGUAUGAAGGUAGUGGUUGUGAUAUAAUGUGCCCAGUGGGCCACUUUUGGUAAGCAGAACUGGCGCUGUGGGAUGAACCAAACGUAAUGUUACGGUGCCCAAAUUAACAACUCAUGCAGAUACCAUGAAA
rnacentral:rRNA from 1 species